CCUCCGGGCGUGGGCCGGCUGGAGGUCAGGGGUCGCACCUCCAGCUCUCCCGCCCUCCGCAGCGCUUUGGGGGGGGGGGGCGGGGAUGGGGGGGCGCGGGGAGCGCGGAGGAGAACUGAGACCCGCGCUCCGCAAUCCUCCCCGCCCUCCUCUAGCCCCACUUUCCGCAGACUCCGGGGCACCCCGGGCUUCCGAGGACAGUUAGUGUGUGCAAGCGAGCGCCCGCGUCCCCGAGCCCUCGGAGGGCGCAGCAGCCCCUCCGCCCCGCGGCGUCUCCGGGGCGCGGGCCGUGCGCUCCUGCCCGCGGCCUCCGCACGUGAGCGCAACUUUCCGCAGCAGCCUCCUCCGCACGGCCCCGCGCACCAGCACCGCACGCUGCCCCCGCGUCCCCGCCGCGGUCGCAGGGACACGCGGAACCGGCAAGAAAGAGGACGACUCUUUCCCAACUUAGAGUCUUAAAAAAGGAAGUGGGGAGAAAGGAA
rnacentral:lncRNA from 12 species